rnacentral:rRNA from 1 species
CGUGAGGGAAAGGCGAAAAGAACCCCGGCGAGGGGAGUGAAAAAGAACCUGAAACCGUGUACGUACAAGCAGUGGGAGCACGCUUAGGCGUGUGACUGCGUACCUUUUGUAUAAUGGGUCAGCGACUUAUAUUCUGUAGCAAGGUUAACCGAAUAGGGGAGCCGAAGGGAAACCGAGUCUUAACUGGGCGUUAAGUUGCAGGGUAUAGACCCGAAACCCGGUGAUCUAGCCAUGGGCAGGUUGAAGGUUGGGUAACACUAACUGGAGGACCGAACCGACUAAUGUUGAAAAAUUAGCGGAUGACUUGUGGCUGGGGGUGAAAGGCCAAUCAAACCGGGAGAUAGCUGGUUCUCCCCGAAAGCUAUUUAGGUAGCGCCUCGUGAAUUCAUCUCCGGGGGUAGAGCACUGUUUCGGCAAGGGGGUCAUCCCGACUUACCAACCCGAUGCAAACUGCGAAUACCGGAGAAUGUUAUCACGGGAGACACACGGCGGGUGCUAACGUCCGUCGUGAAGAGGGAAACAACCCAGACCGCCAGCUAAGGUCCCAAAGUCAUGGUUAAGUGGGAAACGAUGUGGGAAGGCCCAGACAGCCAGGAUGUUGGCUUAGAAGCAGCCAUCAUUUAAAGAAAGCGUAAUAGCUCACUGGUCGAGUCGGCCUGCGCGGAAGAUGUAACGGGGCUAAACCAUGCACCGAAGCUGCGGCAGCGACGCUUAUGCGUUGUUGGGUAGGGGAGCGUUCUGUAAGCCUGCGAAGGUGUGCUGUGAGGCAUGCUGGAGGUAUCAGAAGUGCGAAUGCUGACAUAAGUAACGAUAAAGCGGGUGAAAAGCCCGCUCGCCGGAAGACCAAGGGUUCCUGUCCAACGUUAAUCGGGGCAGGGUGAGUCGACCCCUAAGGCGAGGCCGAAAGGCGUAGUCGAUGGGAAACAGGUUAAUAUUCCUGUACUUGGUGUUACUGCGAAGGGGGGACGGAGAAGGCUAUGUUGGCCGGGCGACGGUUGUCCCGGUUUAAGCGUGUAGGCUGGUUUUCCAGGCAAAUCCGGAAAAUCAAGGCUGAGGCGUGAUGACGAGGCACUACGGUGCUGAAGCAACAAAUGCCCUGCUUCCAGGAAAAGCCUCUAAGCAUCAGGUAACAUCAAAUCGUACCCCAAACCGACACAGGUGGUCAGGUAGAGAAUACCAAGGCGCUUGAGAGAACUCGGGUGAAGGAACUAGGCAAAAUGGUGCCGUAACUUCGGGAGAAGGCACGCUGAUAUGUAGGUGAAGUCCCUCGCGGAUGGAGCUGAAAUCAGUCGAAGAUACCAGCUGGCUGCAACUGUUUAUUAAAAACACAGCACUGUGCAAACACGAAAGUGGACGUAUACGGUGUGACGCCUGCCCGGUGCCGGAAGGUUAAUUGAUGGGGUCAGCGCAAGCGAAGCUCUUGAUCGAAGCCCCGGUAAACGGCGGCCGUAACUAUAACGGUCCUAAGGUAGCGAAAUUCCUUGUCGGGUAAGUUCCGACCUGCACGAAUGGCGUAAUGAUGGCCAGGCUGUCUCCACCCGAGACUCAGUGAAAUUGAACUCGCUGUGAAGAUGCAGUGUACCCGCGGCAAGACGGAAAGACCCCGUGAACCUUUACUAUAGCUUGACACUGAACAUUGAGCCUUGAUG